CUUUCCUUUGGCUUGCUCGUUUUUAACCCUUUGCUUUCACUCCCAGCGCUGCUCUUGCCUUGCGGUCCACAUGGUUUCAGCAAUCUCCAGGUCUAUACAGAGUACUCAGUCAAGUGCACCGGGCACGGGCUCUGUCUUGCAUCUGAGCUUGGCUAAUUUUGGAGGCUGAGUGGAUCCAAGCCGGUGAGAUACAGAGCUCCUAGGAAAAAAGCCAGGGCACUCACGCUGAGGAGCCUGGCUCUUCACCAUGGGUCAGACCACUGGGUGCAAGCUGGAGCUUCUCCGCUGCAUCUCAGCAGGCAGUUUUGAGGAAGACUGUCUUGUUUGGAGAAUGUGAUGAAGACAAUCAGCUCCUCUGCAAGAAAAAGCUGUGUCAGCUCCGGUAUGAGGGGGAAACAGAGAUCCGCACAGACUGUCACUGGUGAGGAGGAAGGAGGCCCAGGAGGAAUGUGACAGAGGUCUAUAAGCUGGGUCUUCCUUCUGAGCCCAGGUGUGCCGGUGGGUCACCAGCCCCCUGCAGCAUCUCACCACCUUCUCCGACCUCCAUCCUCUUGUACCCAUCUUGCAGCACACAUCAACGUGCUCCAGCCGCUGAAGGUGGACUGGGAGGCAACUUCACCCCAGUCUGGGAAUUUUGGGAGACAGAAAGGUGAUAGGAAAGGAGGGUCGCAGAUGGUGUGGAGUGGUACCUGGCCGCAUACCUGCCCUGCCGCUUGCCUGCGGAGAUGCCGCUCCAGCUCGGGUGGGAUGCUACCAACAGCACCUAUGGAAGGCAGGUGAGCAUAUAGGAAGGCAGGUGAAUAUAUAGGAAGGUGAUUGGGCAUAUAGGAAGGCAGAUGGACAUAUAGGAAGGCAGAUGAUUGCGUAGGAAGGCAGGUGGGCAUAUAGGAAGGCAGGUGAGUGUAUAGGAAGGUGGAUGAGUGUAUAGGAAGGCAGGUGAGUGUAUAGGAAAGCAGGUGAGCAUAUAGACCCCGCCAGCCCCCACCACGCCAGGGGGGGUCAGUUAUCUGUAGCCCCCGAGUGACAGCAUCUCCUUCCAUCAAUGACAGCCGGUGCUUGCAAGGGGGUGGUGGGUCUGUGGGGCAGGGGCGAGACCCAGGCGAGCAGAAACCUCUAACUGCCCAUGGCUCCGAGCCACCCAAACCUCGCCUCACCAAACGCGGCUGUGCCGGCACAGCCGUGCCGGGGCUGUGCCGAGAUGACUCACCCUGCCGCUUGCAGCAGCACACUUCCAACUAGCAACAAGUGAAAAUAGAAAUGUCCCCAGCUCCUGAGCCAGGAAUAACA